GGGGGACAGCAUAGACAAGCAUGGGCUUAUGUCUGGGCUCAAGCUGAGCAUAUGUUCAAGAGUUGGAGUACUGAAUGAGGCCUCAGUUGGGUGAUGUAGUCCUUAAUAUAUGGCUAAUGCUUUGUUUGUGUCUUGGGGAAAUAGAUAUUUUUCUGCUAUAUACAAUGCUUACAUUCAUAAACUCUCCUCUGAAGUUGACGUUUUUUUCAACCCAUAUCUUCUUGGAGCAUUGUAUCUUCACAGAAAUAGUUCCAUAUACCUAUUUUUGUGCUGCUUAUAUGAAUAUAUUUGCAUGCACAAGAAUCACUCAGUCUGUCUGAACAUUAAUGCCAAUGUAUCUUGUGUAGAAAGUAAGUAUUAAUUAUGCUGAUAUGGAAUAGUGAAUGCUCCAUACUGGAUUAUUAUAUUGUAACAUUGUAAAUUAAUUCUGCAUUACUAUGUGAUAAAAGAAAAUGUUAAAACUCCCAUAUCAUAAUGCACAUGCUAGAAAGAGCAUCUGAAAGACAGACAUUUUUGACAUUCUGAGCAGCUUUUUACAGUGUAGCAAGCUUGGGCAGUCAUGUAGUUUUUGCAAGUACCAUGUCUAGCAACAUUGAUAUUUUUUGUGGAAUUUGGCUGCAAGCUUGAUAUGGAAGGCAUUCUGUCUGGAAUACAAAUUUAUUCUUCCCUAAAGAUGACUAAACUAGGAAUGGUCAUGGAAGAAAAAGACGUGAUCUGGUCCUAAUUCAGUUCACUUGAGAAAUACCAAGUGCAUGAAAUAUCUUGGAAUACGUCAGAAGCUGAACAAUAAAAAAUUACUUCCUUUCAUUUUUGUUGCUAAGUGCUGUAUCUUCACAAAGAAAAAACACAAUUUUUGAGCACUGUAGAGUAGCCAUAAAUUUAGUUCUAGGAAGAAAAUAAAGCUUCCUAAAUCCUGUUGAAAACAGGAUUCUCAACAAAAUACUAAAAUGAACUCUGUGGAAUUUGGUCAAUCUG